GUUUUGUCGUCAUUGUCGCCCAAUUCAAAAUAAUUCCACACAAGAGACAUCUCUACACACAGCACGAAAUCCAUGUGUUUUCCAUCCCUCUUUUGAUUGACAGGAUAUAAUCGGCCGUGAUUAUCGGAUGUUUUUAUACUAUGGAUGGAUGAAAAAUAGCCUUUCGGUAUCGACCGAUACAUCGGUGCAUCUCUAGUUAAAACUAAGAAGGUAAUGGUUAAUAGCAUAUUUCAUUUUAAUUGCCCCCCCCCCCUUUUUUUUACUGAAGCAGCCUUAUAUGGUCUUGCAUGUGUACAAAUAUUAUAUUUGUAUGUGUAUGUUGUAUUUCCUACUGUCGAUAAGGAAAGGGAAAAGGAGACUUCAAUUCAGUUCCAUUUUAUUUGUAUAGUGCUUUUUACAAUGGAUGUUGUCUCAAAGCAGCUUUACAGAAAUGCAUAAACACGGGAUACAGAUUUUAAAUGUGUGAAUUUAUCCCAAUUGAGCAAGCUGGUGGAGAAAACUCCGAUGUUAAGAGUAAGAAACCUUGAGAGACCCCUGGUAUAACUAGAAAAUGCUGAAAAUUGAAAGUCCCAGGUAUCCCAAGGGUUCCUGUAUAAGGCUGUCCUUAAACUUCUCCGAAGUGCAAGUUUCUUCUAAGUCCCAGGUAUCCCAGGAGCCUAAUACCUUAUAGCCUAAUGCUUAUUUAUUCAGAAACAGAAGUAAGUAAAUACAAAAUGCUGCUUUCAAUUUUAACUCGGACAGCGUGCUUUCAGUUGAUGGACGACCCCAUUUAUUUUUUGAUGAGCUGCAGAGUUUUGUGUGUGUAUGUAUGUGUGUGUGUGUGUGUGUGUAUAUGUAUAUAUAUAUAUAUAUAUAUAUAUAUUUGAAUUUAAUAUAUAAUAGUUUUAUUCACAAGUGUCAUUUGUGAUUUUUAUUUGCUAUGUAAGAACAUUUAGAUCAAGCAAUGUCCAGAAAUAGGUGUAUGAAUUUUCUCACAAAAGUCAUGGUGACCAGUUUUGUCUUGUUUUACCUCUCUUGCAACUUCAAUUAUUGGGCACCA
ensembl:lncRNA